rnacentral:rRNA from 1 species
CCUACGGGAGGCAGCAGUGAGGAAUAUUGGUCAAUGGGCGCGAGCCUGAACCAGCCAAGUCGCGUGAGGGAAGACGGUCCUAUUGAUUGUAAACCUCUUUUGUCGGGGAGCAAAAGACGCCACGUGUGGCGUUCCGAGAGUACCCGAAGAAAAAGCAUCGGCUAACUCCGUGCCAGCAGCCGCGGUAAUACGGAGGAUGCGAGCGUUAUCCGGAUUUAUUGGGUUUAAAGGGUGCGAAGGCGGGAGAUCAAGUCAGCGGUAAAAUGUCGGGGCUCAACCCCGGCCGGCCGUUGAAACUGGUUUUU